AUACGGAGUGUGCAAGCGUUACUCGGAAUCACUGGGCGUAAAGCGCGCGCAGGCGGUCUUUUAAGUUGGAUGUGAAAGCCUACGGCUCAACCGUAGAACUGCAUCCAAAACUAUUAGACUAGAGUGUGGGAGAGGAAGAUGGAAUUAGUUGUGUAGGGGUAAAAUCCGUAGAGAUAACUAGGAAUACCAAAAGCGAAGGCAAUCUUCUGGAACACUACUGACGCUGAGGCGCGAAAGCGUGGGGAGCAAACAGAAUUAGAUACCCUAGUAGGCC
rnacentral:rRNA from 1 species